GAUGAACGCUGGCGGCAGGCCUAACACAUGCAAGUCGAACGAGUGGCGGACGGGUGAGUAAUGUCUGGGAAACUGCCCGAUGGAGGGGGAUAACUACUGGAAACGGUAGCUAAUACCGCAUACCAUCGGAUGUGCCCAGCUGGGAUUAGCUUGUAGGUGAGGUAACGGCUAACCUAGGCGACGAUCCCUAGCUGGUCUGAGAGGAUGAGCAGCCGCACUGUACCUUGGACACGGUCCAUACUCCUACGGGAGGCAGCAGUGGGGAAUAUUGCACAAUGGGCGCAAGCCUGAUGCAGCCAUGCCGCGUGUAUGAAGAAGGCCUUCGGGUUGUAAAGUACUUUCAGCGGGGAGGCGUUACCCGCAGAAGAAGCACCGGCUAACUCCGUGCCAGCAGCCGCGGUAAUUC
rnacentral:rRNA from 1 species